GGGUGACGAGCGGCGGACGGGUGAGUAAUGUCUGGGAAACUGCUGAUGGAGGGGGAUAACUACUGGAAACGGUAGCUAAUACCGCAUAACGUCGCAAGACCAAAGAGGGGGACCUUCGGGCCUCUUGCCAUCAGAUGUGCCCAGAUGGGAUUAGCUAGUAGGUGGGGUAACGGCUCACCUAGGCGACGAUCCCUAGCUGGUCUGAGAGGAUGACCAGCCACACUGGAACUGAGACACGGUCCAGACUCCUACGGGAGGCAGCAGUGGGGAAUAUUGCACAAUGGGCGCAAGCCUGAUGCAGCCAUGCCGCGUGUAUGAAGAAGGCCUUCGGGUUGUAAAGUACUUUCAGCGGGGAGGAAGGCGUUGUGGUUAAUAACCUCAGCGAUUGACGUUACCCGCAGAAGAAGCACCGGCUAACUCCGUGCCAGCAGCCGCGGUAAUACGGAGGGUGCAAGCGUUAAUCGGAAUUACUGGGCGUAAAGCGCACGCAGGCGGUCUGUCAAGUCGGAUGUGAAAUCCCCGGGCUCAACCUGGGAACUGCAUUCGAAACUGGCAGGCUAGAGUCUUGUAGAGGGGGGUAGAAUUCCAGGUGUAGCGGUGAAAUGCGUAGAGAUCUGGAGGAAUACCGGUGGCGAAGGCGGCCCCCUGGACAAAGACUGACGCUCAGGUGCGAAAGCGUGGGGAGCAAACAGGAUUAGAUACCCUGGUAGUCCACGCCGUAAACGAUGUCGACUUGGAGGUUGUGCCCUUGAGGCGUGGCUUCCGGAGCUAACGCGUUAAGUCGACCGCCUGGGGAGUACGGCCGCAAGGUUAAAACUCAAAUGAAUUGACGGGGGCCCGCACAAGCGGUGGAGCAUGUGGUUUAAUUCGAUGCAACGCGAAGAACCUUACCUACUCUUGACAUCCAGAGAACUUUCCAGAGAUGGAUUGGUGCCUUCGGGAACUCUGAGAC
rnacentral:rRNA from 1 species